GUGUUCAAGAAAUUUGUUAAGAAAAAAAAAAAAGCUUACAAACCCAAAAUUCUCUCUCUUUCUUCUAUCGAAUUCGAUCUGUCCCUGUAACCAGAAACCAAAAAUGUCUCACUUCGGUAGGUCUGGCCCUCCUGAUAUUGUUGACACGUACUCCCUGCUUGUCCUCAACAUCACCUUCCGUACUACUGCUGAUGAUCUGUUUCCUCUUUUUGACAAGUACGGGAAGGUCGUCGACAUCUUUAUCCCCAGAGAUCGAAGGACUGGUGACUCUCGUGGAUUUGCAUUUGUGCGCUAUAAGUAUGCAGAUGAGGCACAGAAGGCAGUGGAUAGGCUAGAUGGAAGAGUUGUUGAUGGGCGGGAGAUUACAGUUCAGUUCGCGAAAUAUGGGCCCAAUGCUGAGAGGGUUCAUAAAGGAAGGAUUGUUGAAUCUGUUCCAAGGUCAAGAUACAGGUCUCAGAGUCGCAGUCCUCGAAGAAGGUACCGAGAUGACUACAGAGAUAAAGGCUAUAGGAGGAGAAGUCGCAGCAGGAGUCGGGACAGAUAUGAGCGUGAAAAGUAUCGUGCUAGGGACAGAGACUAUCGUCGACGGAGCAGGAGUCGCAGUGUCAGUCCUGAUCACUCUAGAGGCCGGGGCAGAGGGCAUUAUGAUGAUGAGCGGAGGAGUAGCAGUCGAUCAGUGGAUAGUGCAUCCCCUGUUAGACGUAGCCCAAGUCCUCGAAGGAGUUCUUCUCCCCACAAGAAUUCUCCUUCUAAAGGUGAAAGCCCUGAUAGACAUAGCCGUGAUGGACGGUCUCCAACUCCACGGAGUGCCUCACCUAGAGGUCGACCUGCUGCUUCUCGUAGCCCAUCCCCACGAAAUUCAGAUGUUGAUGAAUGAACUUGCAGUUUGCAUGGAAAAUUUUAUGGCACAUGACUAGUGCAUUUCUUAUGGUCAUGUUACAGAUGUUGAGGACUAAUGAUUUUCAAAUCUGUUCUGGUCAGAAUUUUUAUGAGCUAGUUUUGCUGUUUCCGGAAAGAUUGCUAUGGGGGCUGAUGUCCAGAAUGUUGAUUUUGUGGCUAUUGUGGCUGUUGAUGCUGUUUGUUAAAUGUAGAUGGAUGAUUAUGAUUGUGAUUACUCAAAAUUAUCUGAUGAUUGUUGGUCCUGAUUUGGGUUUGUAGUUGCUGUGGUGGUUUAAAAGUUGGACACAAGAUGAACGUGUUUUACCUAUAGCUGAUGCUGAACAUGAAGUGGUCCUGUUACUCAGUAGUUCUCUGCUGAUACUAAAAUCAAACAUAAUAUGCUGCUCUGAGUUGGACAUGCGAGUAGCAUAUGAGUCCGUGACUGUAGCUGUGAAGUGGUAGCUGAUGCCCGUUCUGUUGUAUGAUAUUCAUGGCUUCGUUCAUAACUUAUGCAAGUACUAAUGAAUUACCACUUGUAGCGGGCUGUUGCUGCCCUUCCUAAUGGGAUCGGGUUGUUAAUUAUACUAGCAGUUGUUGAUAUUGAUGAUGGCUGCCUAGCUGUGUUGCUGGCUUGGGGUCAAUUCCUAAGGAUCUGCUUUGACUUGUAAGCUCGCCUAAUGUCAUGUGCAGACAAUUAUGUUUCCUUUUUUACUGCCAUGAGUUGUCCUUGAAAUUUUGCUUCAUAAGUUACUGAAAUUGUUUAUAAUGCCUAUGAUCAAAUGAUUGUUCUUUGCUGAUGUGA